UGGGGAAUAUUGCACAAUGGGGGAAACCCUGAUGCAGCGACGCCGCGUGAACGAAGAAGGUAUUCGUAUCGUAAAGUUCUGUCCUAUGGGAAGAUAAUGACAGUACCAUAAAAGAAAGCUCCGGCUAAAUACGUGCCAGCAGCCGCGGUAAUACGUAUGGAGCGAGCGUUGUCCGGAAUUAUUGGGCGUAAAGGGUACGCAGGCGGUUUAAUAAGUCGAAUGUUAAAGAUCGGGGCUCAACCCCGCAAAGCAUUGGAAACUGAUAAACUUGAGUAGUGGAGAGGAAAGUGGAAUUCCUAGUGUAGUGGUGAAAUACAUAGAUAUUAGGAGGAAUACCAGUAGCGAAGGCGACUUUCUGGACACAAACUGACGCUGAGGUACGAAAGCGUGGGGAGCAAACAGG
rnacentral:rRNA from 1 species